GACUUCCAGCUCAGUUGGUAGAGCAUGAAACUCUUAAAGUCCUGGGUUCAAGUCCCACAUGGGGCA